rnacentral:rRNA from 1 species
UACGAAGGGUGCAAGCGUUACUCGGAAUUACUGGGCGUAAAGCGUGCGUAGGUGGUUUGUUAAGUCUGUUGUGAAAGCCCCGGGCUCAACCUGGGAACUGCAUUGGAAACUAACGGGCUCGAGUGUGGCAGAGGGGGGUGGAAUUCCACGUGUAGCAGUGAAAUGCGUAGAGAUGUGGAGGAACACCGAUGGCGAAGGCAGCCCCCUGGGCUAACACUGACGCUCAGGCACGAAAGCGUGGGGAGCAAACAGG